UAUGAAUAUUUUAAAUGGCCGCGGUAUUUUGACCGUGCGAAGGUAGCAUAAUCAUUAGUCUUUUAAUUGAAGGCUGGUAUGAAUGGCUGGACGAGAAAAUUUCUGUCUCUGUUAUAAUAUUUGAAUUUUAUUUUUAAGUGAAAAAGCUUAAAUUUUUUUGAGGGACGAUAAGACCCUAUGGAUCUUUAUAAUAAUAGAUAAUAAAAAGUUUGGGUGUGACAGCUUAUUAUUUUAAAUUAUUGGGUUGGGGCGACUAGAAGAAAAAGAUAUCUCUUCUUAAAUAAUAUACUAUUAGUAGAAGUAAAUUGACCCUGAAUUUUGGUUUAAAAGACUAAGUUACCCUAGGGAUAACAGCGUAAUCUUUUUGGAGAGUUCAUAUCGAUGAAAAGGUUUGCGACCUCGAUGUUGGAUUAAGAGAUCCUUACGGCGUAGCCGUUGUAAAGGAAAGUCUGUUCGACUUUUAAAUUCUU
rnacentral:rRNA from 1 species